ACCUGAACUCCAUGGUGUUUCACUGACCUGCCACAAGAUGACACCAUAACCCAAGAAAAGAAGCAAUUAAGGAAUGAAUGAAGGAUUUAUUAGUUAUUAACUGAAUCAUGGGACACUUUGGACUGAAGUUUGUACUUUGGACAUAAAGAUGCCGCGAGAAACCUACAACCUCUGGAGAAAGAUCCAAACACCACAUGCACAGAGGGGAAGGACGAGGAUGAGGUAAGGAGAAUUCUCUCACCUUGCCUGAGGUCUUCACUCCCUUCCACAGACUGAAGUAAAGGACGACAAUCACAACAGCAAGACAGGAAGUGAGCUGCCAGCGAGGCAGUCCGAGGUUAUCGAUCCCUGUGCUGUCCUGAAGGGAUGGAGGAUUUUCCAGUCAUGCGUGUAUGGCUGUUCGACACACCUGAGUAGAAGUUUUAUGGAAACGAAGGUCACACAUCUCGGGGAUGCUGAAGCGUGUUGUGGUUCUCCUCCAGUGGACUAACGUGAACGCCACAUGUUUUGAGACUAAAAGCCAUUUUGACAGUCUCCUGUUUCAGGAAUUUUAAAGGAGAGAUAAACGGUACCUGUCUGAGUCUGAUGGCUGUGUCCUGUCUGUUCCUUCAUCCAGGAUAUGCGCUGCAUGUCUAAGACAAGACGCUAUAGCAGCACAGGUAAGGGAACCUCCAGACAUUAGCGAGGUCCACGGCGAAGCCGAUUACUGACAGAAGGAAGUCGAUUUUCUUGGCCCAGGUUUCUCGCUCCUCUCCAGACGGAUGAGUCUGGCCGGUCGGCGAAACCAGGG